rnacentral:rRNA from 1 species
UACGGGGGGGGCAAGCGUUGUUCGGAAUUACUGGGCGUAAAGGGCUCGUAGGCGGCCAACUAAGUCCGACGUGAAAUCCCAAGGCUUAACCUUGGAACUGCGUCUGAUACUGGAUGGCUUGGAUUCGGGAGAGGAAUGCGGAAUUCCAGGUGUAGCGGUGAAAUGCGUAGAUAUCUGGAGGAACACCGGUGGCGAAGGCGGCAUUCUGGACCGAUAUUGACGCUGAGGAGCGAAAGCCAGGGGAGCAAACGGG